rnacentral:rRNA from 1 species
GAUGAACGCUGGCGGCGUGCUUAACACAUGCAAGUCGAACGAUGAAGCCCAGCUUGCUGGGUGGGUUAGUGGCGAACGGGUGAGUAACACGUGAGUAACCUGCCCUUAACUCUGGGAUAAGCCUGGGAAACUGGGUCUAAUACCGGAUAGGAGCGUCCACCGCACGGUGGGUGUUGGAAAGAUUUGUCGGUUUUGGAUGGACUCGCGGCCUAUCAGCUUGUUGGUGGGGUAAUGGCUCACCAAGGCGACGACGGGUAGCCGGCCUGAGAGGGUGACCGGCCACACUGGGACUGAGACACGGCCCAGACUCCUACGGGAGGCAGCAGUGGGGAAUAUUGCACAAUGGGCGCAAGCCUGAUGCAGCGACGCCGCGUGAGGGAUGACGGCCUUCGGGUUGUAAACCGCUUUCAGUAGGGAAGAAGCGAAAGUGACGGUACCUGCAGAAGAAGCACCGGCUAACUACGUG